GCUGUGGGUAAUACACAGGCUAUCACUACCUCCUGCCUCUCAAUCAUCCACUAUUAAUAUCCUCGGGCUGGAGAGGGUUCUGAACCACCCUAAGGUAAUCUGAAUCCAGUUUUGAACUGGUUGUGACUAUUUUAGUGUCAACAUUAUUCAUUAGAAUAUCAUUCUGCAUUGACCGUAAAAUCUAACCCACUGUUAGGGAUAGGUGGCUCUAAAUUGCAGGUGGAAAUAGAAAUAAGGUGGUUUACUCUUUCAGAGUGGCUGACCUGGCCUCCUUGGCUUUAAAAAAUGAAACAAAUGCCAUGAAGGAAAUUGAUCCUUCAUGUGGUAUUAACACCAGUUGUGUUACAACAAAGAUAAAUUCAGCCCUAUGGAUGGAAGGUCAUAAGAAGGAAUUCUUCAUGAUGGGUACUCCCCUAGGGAUCUCUGCCUGUCGAGUUUCAUUUAUGGUUGGAAAUUUACUUCCAUGGAACAAGCCAUGAAACCAUUUGCAAUCAGAAAUCUCAAAAAACCUGAAUGAUACUAAAGGUACCCACAGCAAAACCUUUUUUCCCCACCAAGGACUCUUUAGCUGGUGGGCAGCUUUAACUUCAUGUCUGUUCCGUUUCUUUCUGGACAUACAAGUGGUACAUAAAUAGCAUGUGUCUCUCAGAGACUCUUAAUACAGACAGCAUUUAAAACUCCAAUAUUCAUAUGCAAAGCCUGUCCCCAUAGUAAGUAUUUUUAGUUAAAAUGGUGUCUAGUAAAGAGAAAAAUCUUUAAAUGGUUCUGGCAUCUCUUCACACAUUUAAGCGCUUAGUCAUAUGCGGUUACGUACAGAUUGUUCCUGUUUCAAGGCAGUGGUCAUCCACAUCACCUAAACUGGAAAUUACCAUUUUUUAUUCCUCCUAAAUAGUUACAUAUUUGUGUGUAGCUGGUAUAAUAAAUGUGCUUCAGUUACCUGCUGAGUAUUACAGGUUGGAUUUAUCAGUGAAUUUGGCACAGAGUAUCAUGAGGAGAAGACAACAUUUAAUGAGGGUGUGAAGAGUGAAUGAUUUCACUCUUGCUGGGGGCAGUUCAGAGCUGAGGAAAGCACGAGUUAAGUCACUGCAGGUGUGCAGCUUAAUGACCUGUAGCUGGGUAGCAAGUGUGCAUGAACUGAGAGCACAGAGGGCAUGUUUGGGAAUGCUAUUACAGUGGAGGAGCUGAAGUAAAUGGAUGGAUAUGUGAGGACAGCAAGAGGCCAAUUUCAAAGGUUCCCAGCUCUUUGGCUCUGCAUCCCACUUGUGCCAGCUUUUUCUUUCAUUUUCCCUAAGAUGGAAUGAUGGCUGAUGGGAGCUUGGAAGGAAAAAAACCCUAGAAGAGUAUUGAAUUUCCUAUGCCUGUUUUCAUGCAUGCUGAAGCAGCAGUUGACUGAACUGGUGCAUUUUACAACAUCUGAAGCAACUGUAAAAACACACAGUGAUGAAACAAGAUCCCACCUGUGGCAACACAUACAGCUCAUGGAGUACAAAUUAUGUGUAGUAGGCGUUCAUGUGGAAAAUCUGUAUGGCCAAAGCAUUCUGGCAAACCACAGUUCCUGCUGGGUGAGUUAAGAGUCUGUCUUUAAGGAAUGAGGGAUUCAAAACUCCCCAUGCAGGUGAGUGUAAAUCUCUUCCUCCUUUCAUGGUUUUAGCUUUGCUGGUGGUUUGAAUUCCCAAUUACAGGCAUUCAUUGGAAUGAAAUGAGAGUCUCAAGGUGCUGCUGCACGGUUCAUUAACCCCAGAGUUUUUGAUGGAGUCCUUCUUUGCUGUGGUUUUCAUGGUUAGCUCUGUUCUCUGGAGUGAUCUGCAACCUGCUGCCAGUCUCACCUUCACCACCAUAAAGGGAAGGUGCAGCCCGUGUCAGUUUGCAGAGGGAGCAAUAUCUCAUGGCUUCUGAGUCAUGCCUUAAAGCCCAAAGGGGCUUUUCUUACAUCACUGUUUUCUGUACUAAGCAAUUUUCCAAAGCAAGAACUCUGAGCACAUUAAACUUG